CAAACAAUGAAACUAUGGCUGAUGGAGACAUUAAUAAUAUUGGGAUUAGUUGUUCUUGGAUGUCAGUCAGAUGACACAGUUGAUCAGCCAUUUAAACAUGUUACUAAAUUUGAGGGAGAAUCAGUAACAUUGGACUGCAAAUAUACUACAGCCUCAACAUCACAAGAGCUUUUCUGGUACAUACAGAGAACAGAAGAAUCUCCUAAACUUGUGUUACAAAGGAAUUCAUACGGAGGAGGAAGUAAUGGAACAGAGUUCCAGGAGAGAUUUUACUCUGAGGUGAAACCAUCAAAAUCAGUUCCACUGAUAAUCCAGAGACUGUGUGUGUCUGACUCUGCUGUGUACUACUGUGCUUUGAGGCCCACAGUGUUAACAGGAAGCCUCUCUCUCAUACAAAAUCAAAAGAAACAUAUACAAGGAAGAGGGAGGAGUGGAGUAUUUCCUGACAGCAUUGGACCAAAAAACAAGGAUGCUAUAAUCAAUAAAGAAGGAGAGUCUGUGACACUGAGCUGCUCAUACAGUACAAUCAGCAAUGAUGUUUUGCUUUACUGGUACAAACAGUAUCCCGACACAGAACCUCA